AGGUAGGAAGAUUUAAAGCUCUGGGUAAGGUUGCACAAGACUGCAUCCACUAUAUUUUAUCCUUUGUGCCGCUUGGAUCCACUUGCUUCAUAAAAUUUCUGGGAACAGAUCCAUCAGGAUUCUGGUGGACCUCAUUUCCCAGAGGAAAUGUGUAAAAGGAAGUUUAGUGGGAUUAACUAUAGCCUCUCCCACUGAAGCCAGGCACUUGCUCACAACUGAUGCUCAUCAUCUCCAUCCUCCACUAUCCAUUCAAGAUUCCCCUCACCUUUGGCUAGGAGCUCAACUUGUUUAGGAGGUUUAUUUGGUGACAGAACAAAGAACCUCAUACCUGAAGUUCCUGAUACCCUGGUAACCAUGCUAUGGUUUGCAUGCGGCUGCAACACUCAUUCUUUAACUGAUUAUCUGCUGUGUUUUCUCAUUACUUUAUAAAGCAAGUACUGAUUGGGUGAAGAAGGAGUUGUCUCCUACCCGUUGCGAUUCCUGUAAUAUGCUCACUCUUUGGGAAAAUGAUCUUGGAACCAGCGACUCCCGAUGCCAUGUGUGAAUCAUAGCACUAGGAGGCAUAAUUCAUGAAUGCUCAAGUCCAUAUGUCAUUUGGCUGUCCAGCUAUUUAUACAAAUAUGAAGUGCAAAUAUGUUUUGAAGCUCUGAGCAGACCUGUGACCAGCUGACACUUCUAAAUUUAUAUUUUUUCUCCCAAAGAUCUUGUUCUCAAAGUUUUAUAAGUUGAACUUAUAUAAGUAUUCUCAAAGUUAUAUAAGGUGAACUCUUUUCUUAUGAUUGUGAAAGCCUACAGAUUAACAAGUAUCAGGAGCAGCAGUGAAAAAAUAACACACAUCUCACCCCCUCUAGGGGAUGGGAAGAGCUGAGGAAGGGAGGAGAAGAAGAGAAAGCAGUCGAUGGUUCCAUUCCU
rnacentral:lncRNA from 1 species